rnacentral:lncRNA from 1 species
AGUAUUACAUGCUGGAAAAAAUACCAAGUAAUGCUUUAUUUCAACAUGACUUGUACUACUGGUCUUUCAUUUGCUCAGAUUAAAAGAGGACUCAUUUUAAAACUAAAACAUAUUAAGUCAUUCAUAUUUUCAAACAAGUAAUACUGUCCGUGUCCUUUGGAUAGAAACAAUCUAUCUAGGUAAAAGUUAUCAAAGAGCAAGUAAAAAUCCAGUAAAGCCUUUGCUCUGUAAUAUACCAUUGUUAAGAUUUUGUAGAUGUUCAAAUUAUUCUGCAGAUGCAUUGUCUCUAAAACAUUUUCUGCAAACACAUAGUUGUAAAAGUUAUGUAUUAAAAUCUUAAUAUUUUGUUUUAGAAAUUAACACAUACACAUAGGAGGCAAAACAAAAGAAGUGGCUGGCUUGGCACAAGCAACAAGACAUAUUUCUUGCCUUUCAUCUGGUUUAUCUUCAGCUAGGACUUUUAAAUGGGGUGGGGUGGCAGGUUCAUCAGACCAUGAAAAAGUGUAGCAAUAGACUAAGAGAGGCAGCGUCUCUCUCGUUUCCUUUGAGAAAACUUUAUUCAGGACCUAAAUCUUUUAAGCUGAUGUACUUUGCCACUAGAAUUCUUUCGCCUUGUAUUCAUUCUCUGCCAUGUGUAUGAUGAGGACCUCAGUGCUACUAAGGGAUAUUUUUGAUGUUAUUUUGUAUGCAGGAGCUUCAGGGUAUUCGUCAAUCCCACACAUAAAUCCCAGAGUAAACCUAUAGAUUAGUUUAGGAAGAAAUGAAUAGUCUCAGUAAAAUGUGCUGUUUACUCAUACUAAAGUGACUGCUUUUUUUGUUACUAGACUGUCAUAGAGAAGCACAAAAUGAAUGUUCCAGAAACUAUGAACGAAGUUCUUGAUAUGUCUGAUGAUGAAGGUAUGAAAACCUCCUUUGAGUUUAUAGUAACAAAGAGUGACUGUGUAUUUGUUUCCUGAAGGAAAUUCAUUGCAAAAAUAUUUUUAGAAGCAUUAAUAUUGUUUUAUUGUAGUAUCAACAGUAUGCAUUUUUCACACUUACAUUGUUCACUUAAAUCAUGCAGUUCG